rnacentral:tRNA from 1 species
GGAUCAUCGUGGUGUAGUUGGUAUCGCAUUGGCCUAGAAUGCCGAAGACGCUGGUUCGAAUCCAGCCGCUGCCCA